rnacentral:rRNA from 1 species
CAUGCCGCGUGUGUGAAGAAGGCUUUCGGGUUGUAAAGCACUUUAAGCAGGGAGGAAAGGCUCAUACCUAAUACGUAUGAGAGUUGACGUUACCUGCAGAAUAAGCACCGGCUAACUCCGUGCCAGCCACGGCGGUGACUGAGCGGGCUGGCAAGGCGCAUA